rnacentral:rRNA from 1 species
GACGAACGCUGGCGGCGUGCUUAACACAUGCAAGUCGAACGGAAAGGCCCUGCUUUUGUGGGGUGCUCGAGUGGCGAACGGGUGAGUAACACGUGAGUAACCUGCCCUUGACUUUGGGAUAACUUCAGGAAACUGGGGCUAAUACCGGAUAGGAGCUCCUGCUGCAUGGUGGGGGUUGGAAAGUUUCGGCGGUUGGGGAUGGACUCGCGGCUUAUCAGCUUGUUGGUGGGGUAGUGGCUUACCAAGGCUUUGACGGGUAGCCGGCCUGAGAGGGUGACCGGCCACAUUGGGACUGAGAUACGGCCCAGACUCCUACGGGAGGCAGCAGUGGGGAAUAUUGCACAAUGGGCGGAAGCCUGAUGCAGCAACGCCGCGUGCGGGAUGACGGCCUUCGGGUUGUAAACCGCUUUCGCCUGUGACGAAGCGUGAGUGACGGUAAUGGGUAAAGAAGCACCGGCUAACUACGUGCCAGCAGCCGCGGUGAUACGUAGGGUGCGAGCGUUGUCCGGAUUUAUUGGGCGUAAAGGGCUCGUAGGUGGUUGAUCGCGUCGGAAGUGUAAUCUUGGGGCUUAACCCUGAGCGUGCUUUCGAUACGGGUUGACUUGAGGAAGGUAGGGGAGAAUGGAAUUCCUGGUGGAGCGGUGGAAUGCGCAGAUAUCAGGAGGAACACCAGUGGCGAAGGCGGUUCUCUGGGCCUUUCCUGACGCUGAGGAGCGAAAGCGUGGGGAGCGAACAGGCUUAGAUACCCUGGUAGUCCACGCUGUAAACGGUGGGUACUAGGUGUGGGGUCCAUUCCACGGGUUCCGUGCCGUAGCUAACGCUUUAAGUACCCCGCCUGGGGAGUACGGCCGCAAGGCUAAAACUCAAAGGAAUUGACGGGGCCCCGCACAAGCGGCGGAGCAUGCGGAUUAAUUCGAUGCAACGCGUAGAACCUUACCUGGGUUUGACAUGGAUCGGGAGUGCUCAGAGAUGGGUGUGCCUCUUUUGGGGUCGGUUCACAGGUGGUGCAUGGCUGUCGUCAGCUCGCGUCGUGAGAUGUUGGGUUAAGUCCCGCAACGAGCGCAACCCUUGUUCACUGUUGCCAGCACGUUAUGGUGGGGACUCAGUGGAGACCGCCGGGGUCAACUCGGAGGAAGGUGGGGAUGACGUCAAGUCAUCAUGCCCCUUAUGUCCAGGGCUUCACGCAUGCUACAAUGGCUGGUACAGAGAGUGGCGAGCCUGUGAGGGUGAGCGAAUCUCGGAAAGUCGGUCUCAGUUCGGAUUGGGGUCUGCAACUCGACCUCAUGAAGUCGGAGUCGCUAGUAAUCGCAGAUCAGCAACGCUGCGGUGAAUACGUUCCCGGGGCU